rnacentral:rRNA from 1 species
AUGUAACAUAAUUCCUAUAGUGUUAAUGCACUAGAUCCCAUUAGAACUCUGCAUUUAAACACACUUGGACUAGAGUAGUAUUGGGAUGGGUGACCUCCCAAGAAGUCUUAGUGUUUUACAUG